rnacentral:rRNA from 1 species
UACGAAGGGUGCAAGCGUUACUCGGCAUUACUGGGCGUAAAGCGUGCGUAGGUGGUUCGUUAAGUCUGAUGUGAAAGCCCUGGGCUCAACCUGGGAAUGGCAUUGGAUACUGGCGACCUGGAGUGCGGUAGAGGGGUGUGGAAUUCCCGGUGUAGCAGUGAAAUGCGUAGAUAUCGGGAGGAACAUCUGUGGCGAAGGCGACACCCUGGACCAGCACUGACACUGAGGCACGAAAGCGUGGGGAGCAAACAGG